UGGACAGCACUAGCAAAUGAAGACUCCUGUUUGUCCAGGGCACAGGAGGAGCAGCACUGCAAGCCUCCCUGCUCUGCCAUGUCAGCUCUCUCCAGCCCUGUUUUAGCAGGAUCACGUAAGGAGCGGGAGGGCAUCCGUACCCCUUCACGCCUUGGCGAAG
rnacentral:sRNA from 1 species